GGGAUAAGUUAAAAAAUAAAGCCCCAAAAAAUUCUUGGACCAUCUGGGCUUGGGUCGUAGAAGACCCGUUUCAAGGGUGGCCCAAAUAUGGAAACAUACCAGGGAAUAGCGACCGACAGCCCUAGCCGCAUGGCUGUUGGGCAUGAAUAAUUAGGAACGGCUACCGCUAGCCCUAGCUGGCAGCCAUAAUGACAGGUAGCUGCUGGGAAACCACAAAAGUUCCCACGACACAGUAACCGAAUAUGUUUUAAAUGUUUUAAAUGAAAAAUAAAUGCAAGGAAAUGGUAUUUGAAAAAGGAAUCGGUAGUGAAUGAAAUGAAAAAAAAAUAAACAAUGUCUCUUCCCUCACCCAAAACCCAAGUUAUUCUCAGAGAAAAACCUAACCUUCUCAACUUGAGGAGAUCCAGAAAUGAAUGACCGCAACAACAAACGAACAUCGGCGACGGAGAUGAAACUCGACCGGAAAGCACAAACGUAACCGUUUACAAGGAGGUCCGGCCACGAUUGGGUGAUGGAUGUUGGAAUCUCUCACUCUUUCGCCAAUCGAUUCCCACCGGUGCACUCAAAACUCGCCUUCCUUGCCUUCGAAAUGAGCUUCGUCCAAUGGCGGUGAAAAAAGUGGAGGUCUGUUCGUAUGGAGGAUGUCUGGAGAUUUUUGUCCUCAUUCCAGCUUGUGGUCCCUCUUCUCAACUCCUUGUUUUACCCUUUUACUGCUUGGUAAGAAUUUAAACACUGCUUGUGAAUUGAGGUAGAGUCAUAAACCGCCUUACUGAUGAUAAUUCUUUCUCUACAGCCCAGAUUUUGACUACUUUGUUAUGUGAACCUGUUGUAAAUUCGUGUCUAUGAAAGAUGAGGGCGAAAGAUUUCUCUCAACGCCUCCUUCAAACACUGAUAUAUCUAAUGAAUCAUUUGGUGCUUUUUCCAGAAAGAAUAUUUUCAGUAAGCACUUGAUGUGAUGGACUUGAUUCUGAAUGCUUUAUAAGAUCAAAAACCUUAGGAUCAUCACAAGUUUCUGGUGAUUUUGGUUUUUGCAUAAAGUUGAGUUGGGUGCAUCAGCAAGUUGUUCUUUUAUGUUUCUGUUGUUGACUUUUUCUUAUGACUGGAGUUCUCACUUGGAAAUUUGACACUUAGCAGAAGCCUAUGGUGAAUUCAUUCGUAGGCGAGAAUCGCGACAGAAACGGUGCCGGUUGCAAUGCUCACCUGCAAAUUGGUUUGGGGAAUCUCACGACAGCAAAUGGUAAGCUUUUGUUCCUUGUUCAAGCUUUUCGUGGCAUAUUACAAAGUUGGUGAAUUUGUGUAGGGUUUGGUGCGUUGCAUUGAUUGGUGAGUUUUUAUAUGCGCGACGGUUCGCAUCACCACACGAACAUGAUAAUGCAUCACUGCAAUAUUGGUUCCUUCUGCAACAAAAUGCGCUUAUGCAAUUUUACACCUUCAUCUAAAAGUGUCUGGAUCAUUGGGAUUUCCAAAAAAAAUAACCCUUCAUCAAAAUGCAUCUUAGCACAUUCCAAAUGUCUAAUGGCUUCCUCUUAUGAAGAAGAAUUCAGAAGCAAUUGAACCCAACAGAGUCUGGCAGCAACAAAUAUGAAGUUUGCUGUUAGUACUACCAAGUCUGAAUAACCGUCCUCUGCAUCAAUCACUUGUUUGGAUUGAGUAACCUCAAGUUGAAUUUCUAUCGAGGAGCGUCCAACCCAUAUAACAGAACCAACAAUUGUAAGAUCAAUGUUAACACUAAUCGGUUUCUUUAGUACAAUCUUAUCCACAGAAGCAGUGACAAAUAUAAGUGGCCUUGUUGUACUAUCUUCAUCAGAACAAUGCUUAACAGAAAUGGUUCCGUCCCAAAAUCCAUUGCUUGUUUACCAUGUGAAGAUGCAACUACAAUAAGUGACUUUCCAUACUUGGCUCCACUAUGUGAUGUUGGGGUGCCAGCAUUGGUCUUGCGAGGGGCUACGGUUGUUUUGCUGCAAUGACAUUCGUGUGAUAACACUUGCCAUUGGUGCCGGCAGUCGUGAAGUUUUGGAUUUGCUGCAGGGUCCUGCUGUCACUACUGUUAUGACGUUUUCUUGCGUUUCUGAAUGAAGCUCUUAUAACAGUACCCUGCUGCCACCUUUUUCCAGGAGACUUCUUUUUACCUUUGCCUAAUGUCCAACCAGUAGGGGAGAAAGCAACUAUAAGACUGAACCGACUCGCAUAUUGACUUGAUAUGUGCUUCAAUCUUUUGAAGCUUGCGAACGUCCACAUAUGGCAACAUGGAUAUUGCUUUCAUGCUCAUUUGAAUUAAACCACUGCAUAUCCUCCUUAGUAAAUUCUAAACAGUUUAAAAGGAGUAAUUUGGCUGCAGUCACGUAAACCUUUUUGCGAAGUAAACGUGCAAC